rnacentral:lncRNA from 1 species
UUGAGUAUGAAUAUAUGGAUUUUGAGGAUUUCUAUAUAUAUUUGGCUAUGUGUGAGGUACUUGGGUUGUUGAGAUGAGAUUGUGGAAAGUGGUGAGUAUAGAAUGUCAGUUUGGUGUGCUAUAAGCACUACCCUAUGUACCUCCCCUGAUUUGGAACUUGGAUAUGGAGACUUGAGAUACUUGGAAUUGUCGGAACCCGGGGCAUCCUUGACGGGAUGUUGCUGUAGACCCUUGAUUGGGUAGUCUGCGCUCGUAGGACUGAUCACAGACGUAUGAGUUUUGAGGUUAUCGACGGUACGUGCUGGCUGAGAGUUGGUCCCCCAGUUGGACGGCUCGUUCCCUAGUCACAUAGUGGAUUGAGGACUUUUCAUGAGGACUCUGCCAGGGUGACUAGUCAAACAAUCCCCCGGUUGGAUUGUUUCCCCGGUACAACUAGGUGAUGGUCAUAUUUAUAAUAUAUAUAUCUCUUAUAUGAUAUAUUUAUAUAUAUAUCUAUUCAUUCAUUUUUGUUUCUCGGUGUGGAUACUUCCUUGCCGGUCGUACCAAUGGGUACGCUUUCGAGAGUUUAGUUGUGAGAUUUAUAAGUUUUGGAUGGUGGGUUUUGUAAAGCGUUCUUUAUGGAUUUCGAACUUCGUAUCUGGUAUUGAUUUGUUUUGAUAUAUAUAUUAUAUAUAUAUAUAUAUAUUUGAGUAUGAUGGUUUUGAGAUGCAUGGGAUUUCUUGCAUGGUUUUCUAAACGGUGGGGUUAUAUUACGUUGGUUUACACUGAACUGAAUUUAUUUUUGUCCACUCACAAUUUUCUAUUUUGCGCCCCCCAGCCAGUAGUUGACUGAGCUCCGCAGCAGAGCCGGAUCAUGAGCUUCCGAGCCUUGAGUCUUCGUAGGACUCUUUCUUCAUGUUUUUCCCUUUGAACUCUGUCUUAUUGAAAUUGAAGUUCUUAGCCAUGCUCUGUUAUCGCCCCUGUUAGGGUUUGAUUUGUGAGGCCGGAGGCCAUUUGGUUGUAAACUGUUUAUUCGCUUUAAAGCAUGCUGCUGGUUGGGAUUAUUCUAUGUUUAUGCAGGUUGAAUUUUUGUUGGGUUUGUUCAAUUCACAGGGGAGACUUUGCCAAAAUUUUGGUAGAGAGUAUGGGUUUUUAGUAAGUGGACCCGGCAUCGGGAUGAUGUCGGAACAAAGACGAGAUUCGCCCUUGUUUCCGGGAAUUACGUAUAUAAUACAACUUCAAUAUUUAUAUGUAUAUUAUUUCAUUAAAUAUUUAUAUAUACAUAUGUUCUUUUGAAUAAAAGGGGUUAAAUUAUAUAUUUGUCCAUUAUUUCUUGAGAUGCCAUUAGAUGGUUAUUGGAUGCUUUCUAUACAUAUAUAUUAAUAACAUGGAUUAAGAGUUUAGACGUGGCAUCCUUACAUUGUUUUCUUGGAGAGAAAGACUAUUUCUCUCUUAUCUUAAUUAGGAUGCCGGAUGUGGCUUUUUCCAUUAAAUUAGUUGAUGCAUUACCAUCGCUAACUUACGCACGUUGUUAAUAACGUGUUGUCAUAGUAUAUUUUUAUUAUAGUGGUCACAGCCUUUGGAAAUAAAUCUCCUAGCGUUGACACAUAGCAACUUAUAAAAUAGAGUGGCAACCAAGUUAUCUUUUCGUAUAAAUAAGAUAAUGUCCUUUGUUAUUAUCCUCUCCAUUGUUACGCCAUCUCACCACCAAUAAAUAGAAGUUUUAAUGGAAGGAAGAGAUAUCAGGCAAAGGGUAAAGAGAGAGAGAGAGAGAGAGAGAUGAUGAUGAUGAAAUUCUUAGAAGAGAUAUAGGAUUUAGCUUGUAUUUUCUUAACUUGGAGAGAGAUGAUGAUGAAAUUCUUAGAAGAGAUAUAGGACUUAGCUUGUAUUUUCUUAACUUGGAGAAAUGCUUUGGAAUCGAGGUAGGAGUUUCUUGGUGACCUUUUAUAAAGAUUGAUCAAAUUAAAUUUCGUGAGCAUUAUAUCAUGCAUGAUAUUAUUAUUCGAUUAUUAUUGAUAUUGGGUGUUUAAGUGUUGUUAAUUAUCAUAUUAUUUUAUUAAUAUUGACAUGAUCAUAUGUUAUCGGUGAUGGCUAGAAUUCUUGGGUUGAUAAAGAAAGUAUGGAAAAGGGGGUAAUGGGAAGGAUCUUUUGUGUAGUUGAGUCUAACUCUUGAUAAGUACCAGGUCUCAGGGAUCCCGCAGCGCAUAUGGUUUUUAUUGGGUGAUUCAGGACUGGCGACAGGGAGUUAGACAAGAUGACUAACGAAAGGGGAAUUAUGGGAUGAUUGAAAUGGGUGUUAGUUCAUACAAAUGGGCAUUCGGGACCAAGUGGUAUAAGCAUGGUAUGGGACGUGCAAAUCUGCUUGUCCAGUUAUAUGAAUUAACAGGAGUAGAUGAAGAGCAUUCAUUCAUGCAUUAUUAUUAAUAAUGUGAUAUUUGGCUGUGUGAUUGCAUGUCACUUAAUUUAGAUAUAUCAAUCUACUGCGGUAAGGUCUCAUGUCCCUACUGAGCGGUGGUUGUUCAUUCCUCACCCUGUUUAAUUUUUCAGAUGAAUUAGUAGGCAAGACAAAGACUAAACCAGUUGAGGCUAAAUUAGAUGAGAGUGAUAGAGCUUUAUUUUUUUAAUUUUAAAGUUGUAAGAUUUUGGGAGCUAUUUUUAUAAGAAAAGUUUAUUUUAUGUUUCAACUUCCUGUUAUUCUAUUUUACUUUUUAUUUUCUCAUGCACUGGGCACGAGGUUUCCACUAACCCCCAGGUCCGAGGCGUGACAGAAUGGUAUAAGAGCUUUAGGGAUUAAAUACCCUUGGGAACUGUGGUAUAGUAUUACCACAAAGUAAAUUUGAAUUGGUGAAGUAAGUUAGUGACCUAACUUUUCAGGAGCAUAUUUCUUUUUAUGAUUAAGUGUAGUUUACGGAAUAAUUGUUUAGUAUUGUUUUAUAUAUGUUGGUUUAAUUUGGUAGAAAUAUUUGGUAAAGGUUCAAUUGUUAAGAUAGCUAGAGUAGAUGGGAAACGUGACAAUGAUAAGAAUGGUAGCAUGAGGGUAAUACUAACCAUUCAGGAUAUGGCCUUUGCAAUACGUGAAACAAAUCAACAAAACCAAGAACCCCAUCAAGAGAUUCAAGGUUGUCAAACAAUGAGUGUUAAAGGAGAAAGAUAAAUGAACAAAGAGUUCUAGGAAAUCUGAAAGUGGCUAUUGCUUCUACCUAUUUGGGAGGAGCAAGGAGACUAGAAUAACUCACUCAAGGACAUGUGUAUGCUAUUGGACAAGUGACAAAGCAAAAUGAACCUACUAUGGUAGAAGGUACAUUUCUAGUUUACAACUCAUGGGCUAAGAUAUUGUUUGACCCCGGUGCUACAAAUUCAUUCAUCUCUAUUUCGUUUGCGUUUAUUCUUGGAUUAGAAUAUGAAUUUAUGAAAUCUUCAUUAAUGGUUGGAUCUCCAUUGGGUAAAUGUGUCGAAGUUAAUAAGGUGUGUAGAUCUUGCAUAAUAGAGAUAUCAUAUCAUAAACUUGUUGUUGACCUAAUGAUAUUGGAAUUAAUGGAGUAUGAUGUAAUAUUAGGGAUGGACUUGACCCAAUUUAAAGCUAUUUUUUAUUGUGGUAGAAAGAUGGUGACUAUGACUCUUAGCGAGGGAAAACAUGUAGUUUCUAUGGAAGUAGGAAUACUCACAUCAAUCUUGGAUAAUGGAAAUUGUAAUUAUUUGAGAUUGAUUGCUUACAUGGUCACUGAGGAUCUAAGUAAUACCAAGCUUGAGCUUAUCCAAAUAGUGAAAGAUUUCGGUGAUGUUUUCCCAGAAGAAUUAUAUGGAAUCCCCCUAGAAAUGGAGUUUUUCUAUAGAUAUUUAUCCUGGCAUGUCGCCUAUAUCUAUACCUCCACAUUGAAUGGCACCAAUAGAGUUGAAGGAACUCAAAACACAACUUCAAGAACUUGAAAGUAAAGGUUUUAUUCGUCCUAGUACCUUACCAUGGAGGUUUUUUCUCCAUUCUUUGUGAAGAAAAGUGAUGGAAGUUGUAACACCCCGACCUCAAAUUUAACCCUUAUUUAAGUAUUUAAUUAUUUAAGGGCAUUUUGGUCAUAUUUUUAACCGGAGAGAGUUUGGGGCAGUGACUAUGUCACAUCUCGGGAUCAACUCCGUCGUAGCACGAUAUUGUCCGCUUUGGGCCCCCCCUCUCUGGCCCUCACGGUUUUGUUUCUGGGAGCUCACGAGCAACUUCCCAGUGGGUCACCCAUCCUGGGAUUGCUCUGGCCCCAACUCGCUUAACUUUGAAGUUCUUACGACUUCGAAGCCAGUGAGCUCCCAAAAGGCCUCGUGCUAGAUGGAUGCGGGUGUGCAUAUAUAAGGCACAUCGCCCCCUCUCCGUUGGUUGAUGUGGGAUCUUACAAUCCACCCCCCUCAAGGGCCCGACGUCCUCGUCGGCACACUCACACCACACGGCAGAGUGGCUCUGAUACCAAAUUGUCACAUCCCGGAAUCAACUCCGUCGUAGCACGAUAUUGUCCGCUUUGGGCCCCCCCUCUCUGGCCCUCACGGUUUUGUUUCUGGGAGCUCACGAGCAACUUCCCAUUGGAUCACCCAUCCUGGGAUUGCUCUGGCCCCCAACUCACUUAACUUCGAAGUUCCUACGACUCCGAAGCCAGUGAACUCCCAAAAGGCCUCGUGCUAGAUGGAUGCGGGUGUGCACAUAUAAGGCACAUCGCCCCCUCUCCGUUGGUUGAUGUGGGAUCUUACAGACUAGUAUUUUUGGAUAGGUCGUACUGAGACGAGUUCAUAGACAUGUAGUGGGCUCGAAUCGGAGUUGUAACGAGAGAGAUAUGGUCAAAAGAAGCCCAGUGGCACAAUCGUAAAUAUUUCGAAAUAGGAUUUUUUUUAUAAAAACUCAGAUUUUCUCUCUCUCUCUCUCUCUCUCUCUCUCUCUCUCUCUCUCUCUCUCUCUCUCCCGCGGGUCUCUCUCUCCUCUCUCACGCGCGCGACGGCAGCUGGCCACGUUUUGGCCGGCCGUGCUCUCCUCCGACCACCAAUGACGACGGGACCGGUACCAAAAUGACCGGGCCGUCGUCCUCUCGAGCUGCUCUAGCUGAUGGUUGGGUAGGAUUAGAUCGAUUCUUAGCGUAGACAAUUCGAUUUUCGAAUUGAAAUUCGGCCGGUUUUGGGAUCGUGAUUCCGGCCACUUCCGGUCAGUUUUUGGGGUAGGUCCAAGAACAAAAGUGGCUCCAAAUAGGGUGUUAUACCUAGGGUAGGAGUUUGGAGCCGUCGUUUUGAGAUUUUCCGGCGAAGCGUUAUCGCUUUGGGCACCCACGGGCUGCCGGAGCGUGCGGCGGCGCGUGGGCACUGUAGAAAAAGUAGCAUGUGUUCCGAUGAGAUCCUUAGGUUGUCACGAGUGCGUAGGAUUUCGCGGAUCUCAAUUCGGACGUCGUUUGACUAUCGAACGGAUAUUCGCAUAUUGCGCGUUAUCCAGGUGCGAUAGGUUGGGGCCGUUGGAUGGACCCAAAUUUAAUAUAUGUUGAUCUAGGUAUUUCUAGGAUCGUGUAGGAAUUCACGGAUUGUGAAUCGGAGCCCCGAAUGUUCCGAAAAAUAAUUUUAAAGUUUUUAUUUUAUAUUAACCGUCAGAUCGUGCGAUCGUGAGCGAUCCGACCGUCCGAUCUGAAUCAAACUUGCAGGACAAGAGUCCUAUACCUGGUAGAACCCAUAGGGACUCUCGGAUCGGAAAUUGGAGGUCGUGGGUUCCGCAGGUCCUUUUGACCAGGGUUAUAGUAGUUUGACCCUUGGUUGACCGUGAGUCUCCCGGAGUAAUCUCACCUUUCUAGGGGAGAUUAUCGGGUACUAGAUUAUUGUGGAGGGUUACACAAUAUUAGAAUUAAUUUAUAUAUUUAUAAUUAUAAUAUGUUUGUACAAGAGUACAAAAGAGUCUAGACUGUCAGUUUGGAGUGCUAUACGCACUACUUUAGGUACCUUCCCGAAUUUUGGAUUCACUACAAGCACCACCAAGUGAAAGUUAGGUCUCACAUGGCGUAGGUUAUCCGGCGUUGAGACAGGCCCCAUACGUGGCGUUGGUUGUACCGGCAUAUGGGGAGAUAUUGUGAUAUUGUGUUGAGGUCGCACGUGGCGUAGGUUAUCCGGCGUGUCGACAGACCCCAUACGUGGCGUUGGUUGUACCGGCGUAUGGGGAGAUUUUUGAUAUGAUAUUGAGGUCCCGCGUGGCGUAGGUUAACCGGCGUUGGGACAUGCCCCAUACGUGGCGUUGGUUGUACCGGCGUAUGGGGAGAGAUGUGAUAUGAUGUGCAGGUCUCGCGUGACGUAGGUUAUCCGGCGUUGUGACAGAUCCCAUACGUGGCGUUGGUUGUACCGGCGUAUGGGGAGAUAUUAUGAUAGUAUGGCAUGGUCGCACGUGGCGUAGGUUAUCCGGCGUGUUGACAGGCCCCAUACGUGGCGUUGGUUGUACUGGCGUAUGGGGAGAUAUUAUAUGAAAUACAAAGAAAUGAAAUAAGGUAUCGCCCAAGUGUGGAAUUGGGUUUUAUGGAAGAACUACGUGUGGCUUGAUCCCUCAAGGAGGGUACGUAGGCAGCCUAAGGUUAUUAGCUGCAGCCGCAGACUAAAUAUUAGUCAUAAUUGGUAUUUGAAUUGUUUGGUAGUUGGUUAAGAAUUAUUGGAAGGCCGAAGGCCAUUUGUGCGAAUUGCAUGAAAUUAUAUUGUGCAUGCUGCCAGUUGGGAAUAUUAAAUGUGUUUCCAUGCAGGUAUAAAUUUUGGGAAAUGUCCAAUUUAUAGGGGAGACUCUGCCGAAUUUUCGGCAGGAAGUCUCGAUUUUUAGUAUUUGGGCCUGAUAUCGGGAGGAUGUCGGGAAUUUCAAAGGGUUCGCCUCGAGUUCUGAAAAAUUCGGGGCGGGUCCUUUCAGAAGUCUUAGGAUGUGUUUUGUUGCAAGCUAACAAAGUAGUUGCAUACGACUUUUUUCAAUUGAAAUGACAUGAAAAGAAUUAUCUAACACAUGAUCUAGAAUUGGCAACCAUUGUUCACACACUGAAGAUAUGGAGAUAUUAUUUGUAUGGGGAACGUUUUGAACUCUUUUUGGAUCAUAAGAGUUUGAAGUAUUUAUUGACUUAGAAGGAGUUGAAUUUAAGACAAAAGCGAUGGAUGGAAUACCUGGAAGAUUAUGAUUUUGACUUACAUUAUCUUCCAGGAAAGGCUAAUGUGGUAACAGAUGCUUUAAGUCAAAAUCCUCAAGGAAUUGUAGCAAGUUUGUAUGAUCAAAGGUGGAAGAUGGUGGAGUCUCUUUACGAUUUUGACCUAUAUAUAGGUGCGCAUGAGGAUUGUGCAUAUCUAUGUAAUUUGGUAACUCACCCCACUUUGAUUGGAAGAAUAAUUGAGGCACAGGAUUUGGAUUCUAUGUCUGAAGACAUUCGAACUAAGAUUACAACUAGAAAGACACAGGAAGGAUGGAGUAUCCUCACAAGCAGUGGAUUAAGAUAUUUGAAUAAGUUUUAUGUACCAAAUAUUUCUGAUAUAAGAAAUGAAGUUCUCAGAGAAAGUCAUCAUUCACCUAUACAAUUCAUUCUAGAGGGACAAAGAUGUAUCGUGAUUUUAGACGUAAUUUUUGGUGGAGUAGUAUGAAGGGAGGUGUAGAAAUAUUUGCAGCAAAAUGUCUAACAUGUUAGCUGGUGAAAACUGAAUAUCAGAAACCGUCAAGUCCAUUACAGCCAUUACCAGUAGUAGAAUGGAAAUGAGAUCAUAUAACAAUGAAUUUUGUUACAGGUUUACCUAAAUAUCCAAAAGGACGUGAUGCAAUAUGGAUUAUGGUGGAUCGUUUGACCAAAUCUGCACAUUUCAUACAGUCAAAUCAAUGGAUUCCACUAAAAAUCUUGGAAAGCUUUACGUUAGAGAUAUAGUAAGAUUACAUGGAAUUCCUAUUUUGAUUGUAUCGGAUAGAGAUUCCAAGUUUACUUCUAAAAUUUGGGGAAGCUUACAGAAAGUGUUAGGUACGCAACUAAAUUUGGUACCGCCUUUUAUCCCCAAACUUAUGGACAAUUGGAGAGAACUAUUCAAAUUUUAGAGGACUUGUUGAGAGCAUGUAUUCUAGAUUUGGAGGGAAGUAGUUGGGAAGAUCAUUUAGUGGUAGUAGAGUUUGCCUACAACAACUAUCAGUCUAGCAUUCAGAUACCACCUUAUGAAGCUUUAUAUUGAAGACCUUGUCAAUCACCUGUGUGUUGGACUGAAGUAGGAGAAACUGUAUUGCUAGGACCUGGUUUGGUACAAGAGACAACUGAAGGGAUUAAAGUUAUCAAGCAACGUCUUUUAACUACUCAAAGUUGACAAAAGAACUAUGUAGACCGAAGAAGGAAAACAUUAAGUAUUGACGUGGGUGAUUAUGUAUUUCUUAAACUCUCACUACUAAGUGGAGUAAAAAAAGGUUUGGGAAGACUGGAAAAUUAUCACCAAAGUUUGUUGGACCAUUUGAAAUCUUAGAAAGGAUGGGUGAAGUAGCUUAUAAGUCAGCAUUACCACCUCAACUGUUGAAUGUACCUGAUGUUUUCCUUGUUUCUAUGCUUCGAAAGUAUGAGCCUGAUCCAACCCAUUUUCUAGAUUGAGGAGAGCUCAAUUUAGAUGAGGAACUGUCAUUUGAAGAAAGACCGACUCAGAUUUUGGAUUCUAAGGAACAAGUGUGACGUACGAAAAUAAUAUCAUUGGUCAAAAUUCUUUGGGUACAUGGGAAUACAUUGAAAGCUACAUGGGAAUUAGAAACUAAAAUGUGUAAGAAGUACCCAUAAAUUUUUCCCUUAUUCCAGUUUUUCUUUUUAAAUUUCGAGGACGAAAUUUCUUUAAGGAGAGUAGAUUGUGAGAGUCUGUUUCUUAAAUGUUCAUUAAAGAAAAAUAAAUGUUAUUAUAUAUUCUUAAGUAAUUAUCUUGCUAAGAAGGAAAUGUAUAUUUAUAAUUGUUUUACGUUUAUAAUACCAUUUCAAUAGUUAUGUGUAUAUUAUUUCAUUAAAUAUUUAUAUAUACAUAUGUUCUUUUGAAUAAAAAGGGUUAAAUUAUAUAUUUGUUCAUUAUUUCUUGGGAUGCCAUUAGAUGGUUAUUGGGUGCUUUAUAUACAUAUAUAUUAAUAACAUGGAUUAACAGUUUAGACCUGGCAUCCUUACAUUGUUUUCUUGGAGAGAAUGACUGUUUCUCUCUUAUCUUAAUUUGGAUGCUGGAUGUGGUUUUUUCCAUUAAAUUAGUUGAUGCAUUACCAUGCAUUUGGACAGCUCAUGCUUACAAUUUGGUGAAUAAGUCUAUCUUAGCUUGAGGUGGAGUUUAUAAUUUCAAUAGGUGUCACAGCCUUUGGAAAUAAAUCUCCUGGCGUUGACACAUAUAUAGCAACUUAUAAAAAAGAGUGGCGACCAAGUUAUCUUUUUGUAUAGAUAAGAUAAUGGGCUUUGUUAUUAUCCUCUCCACUGUUACCGCCAUCUCACCACCUAUAAAUAGGAGUGUUAAUGAAAGGAACAUAUAUCAUGCAACAUGAGAGAGAGAGAGAGAUAUGAUGAUGAUGAUGAAAUCCUUGGAAGAGAUUAGGACUUAACUUGUAUUUUCUUAACAUAGAGAUAUGUUUUGGAAUCGAGAUAGGAGUUUUUUGGUGACCUUUUACAAAGAUUGAUCUAAUUAAAUUUUGUGAGCACUAUAUUAUGCAUGAUAUUAUUAUUUGAUUAUUAUUGAUAUUGGGUGUUUAAGUGUUGUUAAUUAUCAUCAUAUUAUUUUAUUCAUAUUGACAUGAUCAUAUGUUAUCGGUGAUGGCUGGAAUUCUUGGGUUGAUAAAGAAAGUAAGAAAAAGGGGGUAAUGGGAAGGAUCUUUUGUGUAGUUGAGUCUAACUCUUGGCAGGUACCAGGUCUCAAGGAUCUCGCAGUGCACAUGGUUUUCAUUGGGUGAUUCGGGACUAGCGACAGAGAGUUAGACAAGAUGACUAACGAAAUGGGAAUUAUGAGAAGAUUGAAAUGGGUGUUUGUUCAUAUAAAUGGGCAUUUGGGGCCAAGUGGUAUAAGCAUGGUAUGGGACGUGCAGGUCUGCUUGUGCAGUCAUAUGAAUUAACAGGAGUAGAUGAAGAGCAUUCAUUCAUGCAUUAUUAUUAAUAAUGUGAUAUUUAGCUGUGUGAUUACAUGUCACUUAAUUUAGUUAAAUCAAUCUACUGUGGUGAGGUCUCAUGUCCCUACUGAGUGGUGGUUUCUCAUCCCUCACCCUGUUUAAUUUUUCAGAUGAAUUAGUGGGCAUGACAAGGACUAAAUCAGUUGAGGCUGAACUAGAUGAGAGUGAUAGAGCUUUAUUUUUUUUAAUUGUAAAGUUUUAAGAUUUUGGGAGCUAUUUUUAUAAGAAAAGUUUAUUUUAUGUUUCGGCUUCUUUUUAUUCUAUUUUACCUUUUAUUUUCUCAUGCACUGGGCACGGGGUUUCCACUGACCCACGGGUCCGGGGCGUGACAAGGGUUAAUCGUUUUAUUCGUUCUUGGACUUAGACCUGGUUUGCAUUUGAGUACCUCAAUUUCCAAAAUCGUUCUCAUAUUCCUUUAACUUCACUUUUGUUAGGACAAAUGGUCCAGCCAUUAAUUUUGUUAACUUUUUCUGUUAAAUGCAGGGGCAAAAUGGUAUUUUUAUAUUAAAACCAAAAGAAUAAAUAAAUAAUCACAUCUUUAAAAUAACAAUAAAAUCAAAUCAAAUAAAAAACCAACCAAAAAAAAAUCGAGUUUGGGAAGAGUAGAAAUCGGGAUAGAGGGGGAGAGAGAGAGUUUAAUUUUAAUUUUUUAUUCAUAUUUUAAUCAAUUUAAUACAAAAUGAGGAGAACUACCCCCCCUCUUCUUCUCUUUUUAUUCACUACAUGCCAUGUAAAGAGAAGAACUAAAUGAGGUUAGGUUAUUAAAAUUGGGUGAGCUAGGAUUCUAUUUUUUUUGGCUGGAAAAAAGAAGCCACCUGGGUUGCCAAACUAAAGGUACAUCCGUGGGUAAGCUAGGAUUUUAUUUUUUUUUGGCUUGAAAAAAGAAGCCACCUGGGCUAUAGCCCAGGUUUGCCAAACUAAAGGAAGGUCUGUGGGUGGGCUAGGAUUUUAUUUUUUUGGCUGGAAAAAAGAAGUAGGUUUGCCAAACUAAAGAUCCGUCUCUGUUUCCACUUCAACCCAUUUACAAUCAAACUAUUUUAUGACUAAAACACUUCACAUUAAUGAUAAUUUUAUUAAACUAAAACACAGUUUUAUGAGUCUACUUAUGGAGAAAAACUUAGUUGCAAUGAGAUAACACUAUUUUGCUAUCCUUAUUUCAUAAAAGUCUUUCUCCUACUUAUGACUAUGGUUGCAGCCUGCAAUAUUCUUAAAAUAAUAAAAAAAUAAAAAAAAUAAAAAAAGUAGCUAUUCUGAAGGACAUUACCUCACUUUUGCUGUAUAAAUACUCUGCAUUUGCAAGCACUGCAAUGCACACACAAAAGCUAAGAUGGAUUCCAGAGAAGUAGCAACUAAGCCACACGCUGUUUGCAUUCCAUUCCCUUAUCAAAGCCAUAUAAAGGCAAUGCUUAAAUUUGCAAAGCUCCUCCACCACAGAGGUUUUCAUAUAACCUUUGUUAACACAGAGUUCAAUCACAAGCGCUUUCUUAAAUCUCAAGGACCCAAUUCCCUUGUUGGCUUGCCUGAUUUUCAAUUCGAUGCCUUCCCGGAUAGCCUUCCGGAUUCAGAUGAAGAUGCCACACCAGAUGCCACCUUGCUUUGUGAAUCCAUCAGAAAAAAAAAAUUCUUGGCUCCCUUUCAUGCCCUCCUUGCAAAACUCAACAAUGAUGCCAUAUCAACAUCCCACAAUCCUCCUGUGACUUGCAUAGUUUCAGAUGGUUUCAUGUCCGCGUUCACAAUCACAGCUGCUGAAGAAAUCGGAGUCCCUAUAGCGCUGUUCUACACUAUAGCUGCCUGCAGCUUCAUGGGAUUUAAACAACUUCGCGCUGUGGUCGAAAAAGGACUUUUUCCACUCAAAGGUGAAUAACUACGAAUUAAAAGCAAUUGUUGUUUCUAAACAUGCAAAUGAAAUGUUUCUUCAAUUGAAUUUCAUUUGUCUAUUGCAGAUGAGAGCUGUUUCAAAAAUGGCUAUCUGGACACCGUAAUAGAUUGGAUCCCAGGAAUGAGAGAUAUCCGUUUAAGGGAUCUCCCGACCUUCGCGCGAAACACAAAUCUGGAUGACACCGGAUUUAACUUCAUCAUGGAAGAAACCGAAAGAGCUCAUGAAGCUUCAGCAGUUGUUCUUCAUACUUUUCAUGCCUUGGAGACAGAUGUUUUGGAAGCUCUCUCAUCUAUGCUUCCCCAUGUGUACACCGUUGGCCCUCUUCAAUUGCAUCUCAAUCAGAUACCAGAGCACCCUUUGAAAAUGGGAUACAGUCCAUGGAAAGAAGAAACUGAAUGCCUCGAGUGGCUAAACACCAAGGCACCAAACUCAGUUGUCUAUGUGAAUUUCGGCAGUGUAGCAGUCGUGACACCAGAACAGCUUGUGGAGUUUGGGUGGGGACUUGCAAAUAGCAAGCUUCCAUUCUUUUGGGUAAUUAGACCUGAUCUAGUUGUUGGAGAAUCAGCUAUUUUGCCGCCUGAGUUUGUGGCUGAAACUAAGGAAAGAAGUCUAAUAGCUGGGUGGUGCCCACAAGAGCAAGUCCUCAACCACCCCUCAGUUGGAGGAUUUUUAAUGCACAGCGGUUGGAAUUCAACAGUUGAGAGCCUUACUGCAGGAGUUCCUAUGCUCUGUUGGCCAUUCUUCGGGGACCAGCAAAUGGACUGUCGCUAUACUUGCAAUGAAUGGGGAAUUGGCAUGGAGAUUAGUGAUGAUGCGAAGAGGGAAGAGGUAGAGAAGCUUAUCAAAGAGUUAAUGGAGGGAGAGAAGGGUAAGAAGAUGAAAAAUAAGGUCAUGGAGUGGAAGAAACUUGCAGAAGAAGCUACUGGUCCACAUGGUUCUUCAUCCACAAACUUAGACAAUUUAGUGAAUCAAGUGCUAUUGAGAAAAAGUUAAGAUGUUUCCAUAAGAAUAUUGAUGUUAUUAAUUAUCAUUUCCAUUGCCAUUGUCUCAAAUAAUCAACUAUCUGGCAAUAUAUAUGUACUACUGGUCUGUAACCAUGAUGCGUACUAUAUCUAGAAUUUUAUUCUAAUUAAGGUUUUACUACGCUUCAGGCCUUCAACUCUAAAGUCUUUAUCAUUUUUCAGGCAAUUGUGCACUAACCAUGAUGCAUUAUAUUAAUAAUAUUUUAAAUCAAUAGAUUAAAAAUAUAAAGCUAUACCUUUUUCCACAAAUACCCCCGAGCUUAACGGGUUAACGGGUAUUCGUGAAUUGACACGACACGACACGAUAGCUUAACGGGUGACUAACGGAUCAAUACGAUAUCAACAUGACACCAUAACCCAUGCCUGAAUACUGAAUUUUUCGUGCGAAUUCAUGUCGUAUUAAUGGAUCGUGCACAAUAUUGUCUCCUCUAAACUUAGAUACUUUAGUCGAUUUAAGAAAAAACUAGAUGUUAUCCAUAACCAUAUCUCUAUUAUCACUGUUGAUAUCUCUAUUAUUACUCCAUAUAGCGUCCUUAUUCGUGUAUGAUGUCAUACGGAGCCUAAUAACAUGUUUUCUUGUUUUGUUCUAAAAAAGUUUUUUGAAAGAAGUAGAGACCAGUAAAUGAAAUUAAAAAAAAUUAAACCUCCAAUAAAUAUGGCCAUGGAAACAUGGUCUAACGCUAAAUAUAAAAUAAAAUAAGGGCAACUAAACUUGCCAUGGCCACAGACAUAGUGGCUUAAUAGUAAGUAAAUAAAAUUAACUUUGGAUAAACUGUGGUGAGGGAGUUGGAAUAGUACACAUUGAAAAGUAUCUCAGUUUUGCUUUAUAAAUAAUCUGCAUUUGCAAGCACUGCAAUGCACACACAAAAUCUCAGAUGGAUUCCACAGAAGUAGCUACUAAGCCACAUGCUGUUUGCAUUCCAUUCCCUGCUCAAAGCCAUAUAAAGGCAAUGCUUAAAUUUGCAAAGCUCCUCCACCAUAGAGGUUUUCAUAUAACCUUUGUUAACACACAGUUCAAUCACAAGCGCUUUCUUAAAACUCUAGGAUCCAAUUCCCUCGAUGGCUUGCCUGAUUUUCAAUUUGAAGCCAUCCCGGAUAGCCUUCCAGAUUCAAAUGAAGACACCACACAAGAUGUCGUUAAAAAAAUAAAGUUAGACCAUUUUCAACAAAGAAAUUAUGUGGAAGUUUCUUUAAAACCUUGUAUAAUUAUGUUGGAGAUAUUGACCUGAUGAUAAAGCAUAAUCUCUCAUUAAUACUUGAAUGCUUAAUCUGAAAGAAAGAAAAGAAAAGAAACAAGAAAACACAGACAAGGUUAAAGAAAAGACAAAAUCCAAAAGCUUACUUUGUUUCCUCGUCUUUCCAAAUCCAAAUCCAAAUCCAAACGCCACUCAAAUCAGUUAGGAAGUUUCUGAUUGUUUAUUUCAUUUCAUACUAGAUACAAAGAUAACAACAGCUUGAGUAAAAAAGAACAAAAUUGAUAUUUUAAAUUAGAUGCUCCAUUUCAAACCAUAGACACUCCUCUAACGUGAGCUUGAUGAUUAGGGACAAAACCACAUGAAUGUUAUUUCACCAUAAUGUUCGUUUUAGUCAUUGUACACAACUCACAACACUUUCACACAAAAAAUUAUUAUUGUACCAACAUCACUUUUAAUAAAAAGUUGUCAAAAGACAAACUGCUUUCUUUCACAACUGAUUUCUCUCACAGCAAAUCUGACUGUAAUUAUUUUCACAUCACAACAAUGCCAAACUAGCUUCGUUUUAGAUCCUUAUUUCAAUUCCUACUUGGUUUAGGAUUCCUAUUUUAAUCUUAUUUCCUACCCACUAUAAAUAAGGCUUUUAGGAAGUCACAUUAUUAUUUGUGGCUAGAGAGUGUCUAUGAGUGUGGUUACGAACCAAAUUACAAGUGAGUGUGAGGAAUUGGUAACAAUUCACUAUAGAAAUACAAGAGAAAAAAUAAUUUCAAACACUCCGAAGUUUUCUUUCUACUAACUAGCCAGGUGAUGUUGAGGGAUUAAGCCUUCUUCAAUUAUACACCAAGCGAAGAAGAACCAUUGCUAAAUGGAACAAGGAAAUUACAUAAUAUUACAAAUGAACUAAGCUCUAGUGAUCUCCAUGUGCCCAAAAAUCAAACCCGAUCCAAUGCAUCUUCGUGGUUUAAUGAAUAUGGCGCUUUGCUUGAAAAAGGACUUGCACACUCAAAUAUCUUUUAUAUGCAAAGAGCUUUCAUUGAGGGAUUACUUAAAUAAGUUAUUUGGGGGAAUAAGGCCAUGGAGUGGAAAACAAUUUGAAUCUUUAUUCUGAUUGCUUGAUAUAACGUUUAAUUGGUUUAAUUGUGAAAAAUACUGUAUACCCACUAAAAUAUCAUUUACUUGUUUGUUUGUUCUGGGCAUUAAAUUCUGUUGGGUAUCUUUGUUUUUAACGUAGGCUUUCCCUUCAAUUUAUUUGAUUCCUACAAGGAAAACUUUUGCAGAAGAAGCUACUGGUCCACAUGGUUCUUCAUCCACAAACUUAGACAAUUUAGUGAAGCAAGUGCUAUUGAGAAAAAGUUAAGAUGUUUCCAUAAGAAUAUUGAUGUUAUUAAUUAUCAUUUCCAUUGCCAUUGUCUCAAAUAAUCAACUAUCUGGCAAUAUAUAUGUACUACUGGUCUGUAACCAUGAUGCAUACCAUAUCUAGAAUUUUAUUCUGAUUAAGGUUUCACUACGCUUCAGGCCUUCAACUCUAAAAUCUUAUUGGAGAAUCGGUUAAUAUUUAAUUAUUUUUUUAUACGUAUUUCCUUUUUACUGUGUUCUAUACAUAUUUAAUUUGAUUACUACUCUCAAGGAAGAUUAUCCUUAAGUCUUAUAUUCAACAAAUUACUAUUCAUGUGUCAGUUGGUUUACAUUUAUUAUAUUAAAUCAAUACUCACCAAUUCUUUAAAGUGUGAGAUAAUUAGUCACAAAUAAUGGUGACUAGUAACCAAAGUCAUUGACCACCAUUCAAAUGUCACCAAAACUGUUUUGUUGCUAUAAAAAUGUGACUAAUGCUUUCUAUUUUGUCGCCGGAUCAAGGCCGUGAAGUUCUGGGUUAAACCGUGAGUUUUUGACGCCGAUUCCGACCACUUGCCGUCCGAAUUGGACUUGGGUGUAGUUGAAUAAAAUAUUCCACUCGUCGAGUAGAACCUGUAGCCGGGAGGGUGGCUUGUAGUUUGGAGAUUUUCCGGUGAAGCUUUAUCGCUUUGGACACCUGCGCAUGUGACGGCGCGUGGGCACUGUAGCAUAGGGGCAUUAUUAUCCCAAUGUGAUCUCCUGGUUGUCAUGAGUACGUAGGAAUUUGCGGAUCUCAAUUCGGAUGUCGUUCGACUAUCGAACGGAUUUUCGCAUAGUGUGCGUUAUCCGGGUUCGAUAGGUUCUGACCGUUGGAUCAUUUCCCAAUUAAAUUAUGUUGUUCUAGGUAUUCCUAGGAUCGUGUAGGACUUCACAGAUCAUGAAUCGGAGCUCGGAUGUUCCAAUUCAAUAACUUAAAGUUUGCGUUUUAUAUUAACCGUCCGAUCGUGCGAUCGUAAACGAUCUAACCGUCCGUUUCGGACCAAACUUGCGAGACGGGUAUCUUAGACCUUGUGGAACCUUUAGGAACUUACGGAUUGUAAAACGGAGGUCGUGGGUCCCAUGGACCCGGUUGACCUGAAUUUGGAAGUUUGACCGCCGGUUGACUGAGUGUCUCCCGAAGUUGUUCCAUCGUCCAAAUUGAGUAGUUGGACCUUAGAAUGUCUCAUUCCUAGUACACUUACUAGAAACCUAGGAAAUUAGGAUAUUUAAUUCAAAGUACUCGUUUGAAACGCUUCGUAUUAAUCUUGUGUACGUAUUCUGAAUUAGGUACUCCGACCACGCAUACGCAGCAGGCGGGACCCUCUCAGGGUCAAGUAGCGUGGGAUUACUUGUGAGUGGACUUUGUUUUCAAAUCUUAUGCAUGGUUUUAUUGAUGAAAGAUUUAUGCAUAAUGUUUUUAAUGAUUUAUUGAAUAUAUUAUAUUCAUGGGUUGAAUUUGAUGUCUGUAUAGCGCUUUGUCAAUAUAUUGUGGGUUUGGCAUUGUUGGGUAUUGAAAGUAUAUUUUAUAUGGAUUUUGAGAAAUAUUAUGCAUGAUGUUUUAAACGGUAUUUUGGAUAUAUUAUUUAUGAAAUUGUUGAAAGUGAUAUUUUUAUGAGGCAUUGAAAAUAUAUUUUGGGUUUUGACAUAUUUGAGUAUCUUGAGUAUGAAUAUAUGGAUUUUGAGGAUUUCUAUAUAUAUUUGGCUAUGUGUGAGGUACUGGGGUUGUUGAGAUGAGAUUGUGGAAAGUGGUGAGUAUAGAAUGUCAGUUUGGUGUGCUAUAAGCACUACCCUAUGUACCUCCCCUGAUUUGGAACUUGGAUACGGAGACUUGAGAUACUUGGAAUUGUCGGAACCCGGGGCAUCCUUGACGGGAUGUUGCUGUAGGCCCUUGAUUGGGUAGUCUGCGCGCGUAGGACUGAUCACAGACGUACGAAUUUUGAGGUUAUCGACGGUACGUACUGGCUGAGAGUUGGUCCCCCAGUUGGAUGGCUCGUUCCCUAAUCACAUGGUGGAUUGAGGACUCUUCAUGAGGACUCUGCCAGGGUGACUAGUCAAACAAUCCCCCGGUUGGAUUGUUUCCCGGUACAACUAGGUGAUGGUCAUAUUUAUAAUAUAUAUAUAUAUAUAUCUCUUAUAUUAUAUAUUUAUAUAUAUCUAUUCAUUCAUUCUUGUUUCUCGGUGUGGAUACUUCCUUG